UUGAACGCUGGCGGCAGGCCUAACACAUGCAAGUCGCGCGGAUGAAGGGAGCUUUCUCCUGGAUUCAGCGGCGGACGGGUGAGUAAUGCCUAGGAAUCUGCCUGGUAGUGGGGGAUAACGUCCGGAAACGGGCGCUAAUACCGCAUACGUCCUGAGGGAGAAAGUGGGGGAUCUUCGGACCUCACGCUAUCAGAUGAGCCUAGGUCGGAUUAGCUAGUUGGUGGGGUAAAGGCCUACCAAGGCGACGAUCCGUAACUGGUCUGAGAGGAUGAUCAGUCACACUGGAACUGAGACACGGUCCAGACUCCUACGGGAGGCAGCAGUGGGGAAUAUUGGACAAUGGGCGAAAGCCUGAUCCAGCCAUGCAGCGUGUGUGAAGAAGGUCUUCGGAUUGUAAAGCACUUUAAGUUGGGAGGAAGGGCAGUAAGUUAAUACCUUGCUGUUUUGACGGUACCAACAGAAUAAGCACCGGCUAACUUCGUG
rnacentral:rRNA from 1 species